rnacentral:misc_RNA from 1 species
CUCUUUCACAUCCGAUGGCGAUCAUGUCGAAGCUCUCAAACCCUAGCUUCGCUCUUGCGUCCGCCCACGCCUCUCCCGCUUCCCCAUCGGAGUCGAAGAUCUCGAUCGGCUUCAACGGUGGAGCUCUGAUCCGGAGGAAAACUCUGUUUCCGAGCCUCUCGAUUCGCACAGGCGGCGGCGAGAGGAGAUUCUCGAUCGUCAAGUGUUCCCAACAAGGAGGAAAUGGUGCCACAACAAAGAAAACAGCCCUUCAUGAUCUCUAUGAGCAGCAAGGGCAGUCUGCAUGGUAUGAUAAUCUGUGCCGCCCAGUGACAGAUUUGUUGCCACUCAUCGCCAUUGGGGUCAGGGGGGUCACCAGCAACCCAUCGAUCUUCCAGAAGGCAAUUUCAUCAUCAACUGCUUAUGAUGAGCAGUUCAGACAACUUGUAUCAGCUGGAGAGGACAUAGAAAAGGCUUACUGGGAGCUAGUAAUAAAGGAUAUUCAAGAUGCGUGUGAACUUUUUGAAUCAAUAUAUAAUGAAACAGAUGGAGCUGAUGGCUACGUCUCUGUAGAAGUCUCUCCUAGGCUUGCAAAUGACACUGCUGGAACGGUCGAAGCUGCAAAAUGGUUGCACAAGGCUGUCAAUCGCCCCAAUGCCUAUAUAAAGAUCCCAGCUACUGCAGAAUGUGUUCCUUCUAUCAAGGAAGUUAUCUCGCUUGGAAUCAGCGUCAAUGUAACCUUGAUCUUCUCGCUCUCGAGAUACGAGGCAGUUAUUGAUGCUUAUUUGGAUGGUCUCGAGUCUUCUGGGCUGAGCGAUCUGUCUAAGGUCACUAGUGUUGCGUCCUUUUUUGUCAGUCGAGUUGAUACCCUUGUUGACAAGAUGCUUGAAAAGAUAGGGACACCUGAAGCUCUGAAUCUCCGUGGAAAGGCUGCAGUAGCUCAGGCAGCGCUGGCAUAUAAGCUCUACCAAAAGAAAUUUUCUGGUCCACGAUGGGAGGCUCUAAAGAAGAAAGGUGUAAAGAAGCAGCGAUUGUUGUGGGCUUCGACUAGUGUCAAGA